CGCCAUUUUCCUGCCUCAGCCUCCCGAGUAGCUGGGACUACAGGCGCCCGCCACUACGCCCGGCUAAUUUUUUUUGUAUUUUUAGUAGAGACGGGGUUUCACCGUGUUAGCCAGGAUGUUCUCGGUCUCCUGACCUCAUGAUCCACCUGCCUCGGCCUCCCAAAGUGCUGGGAUUACAGGAGUGAGCCACCGCGCCCGGCCAAGAGGCAGGAUCUCACCACCUUUUCUGGGCUAGUCUGGAACUCCUGGCCUUGUUACCAGCGGCAAAUCCCACAGGUCUGCAGCAACCUCAAUUCUUGUUUCCUCAGAAGAAAGAAUUCAACUGAUGGGCAGAAGGCAGAAGGAGAUACUGAGGCAAGUUUUAGAGCAGAAGUGAAAGUUUAUUAAAAAGCUUUAGAGCAGGAAUGAAAGGGAGGAAAAUAUACUUGGAAGAGGGCCAAGUGGGCGACCUGAAAGACAAGUGUGUGGUUUGACCUUUUGAUUUGGGGUUUUAUACGUCGGCAUACUUCCAGGAUCUUGGGUUACUUCUCCCCACUCCUGAAAGCUUAUCCAGAAGUUGAUCAGUUUCAGGUGUUUUCUAUUUAUUGGGAGCCUGCCUUUCCCUAGCACCGGCUGGGACCAAUUAUUACUUUAGAGAGA
rnacentral:lncRNA from 1 species